GGAGGAUCCAAGCGUUAUCCGGAUUUAUUGGGUUUAAAGGGUGCGUAGGCGGUUUGAUAAGUUAGAGGUGAAAUGUUAGGGCUUAACCCUGAAACUGCCUCUAAUACUGUUGGGCUAGAGAGUAGUUGCGGUAGGCGGAAUGUAUGGUGUAGCGGUGAAAUGCUUAGAGAUCAUACAGAACACCGAUUGCGAAGGCAGCUUACCAAACUAUAUCUGACGUUGAGGCACGAAAGCGUGGGUAGCAAACAGGAUUAGAUACCCUGGUAGUCCACGCAGUAAACGAUGAUAACUCGUUGUCGGCGAUACACAGUCGGUGACCAAGCGAAAGCGAUAAGUUAUCCACCUGGGGAGUACGUUCGCAAGAAUG
rnacentral:rRNA from 1 species